GCUAGCUAAAUAUUGUGAUACAUUGUUAUUUGUUAUUCUUGAGAGGGAGAGAAACUUCUUCGUUGUCACUUAUCAAUCAUCAUCAUGGUUAUGUGUUGUGCUAUUAAUUGUAAAAAUAAGUCUGCGACACACAAAAGAACACCAGGUUCUUCUCCUGCACGAAUGUUUAGCUUUCCCAAGGACAAAACUAGGAGGAAAGUGUGGGCCAACACUAUUAAACGUGCAAAUUGGACUCCGACAGAUCAUUCCAGGCUUUGUGACGCUCACUUCGAAGAGCGGAUGUUCCGUCGUCGACCUGUAGAGGGAAGAUGGCUUUUGAAACACGAUGCAAUUCCGACUCUUUUCGGGCAUAUCAAGAGAAAGAACAUUCGGAAGCCUCCAUUGAAUAGGAAUUCAGCGGAGGAAGCGUUUGAAAGAAAUAAAUCUACAUUUGCUUUAGAUCAUUCAUACAACAAGCCUUUUUCAAUGACAACUACAACUACAUUGAAUCAUGAUAAAGAAGAAGUAGAAGAAGAAAGUGUUUUUAUUGAUCAACCUUGUGAGAAACUAUCUACCUUCCAUGAUUUAGCGUUGGAAGAAGUCUCUGAGGAAGUUGUAAUACAAAAUGAUUCUCUAAAUACCUCGGUGCUAUGCUCUAAUUGUCAAAAUAUGGGAACUAUAAAUAAAGCUCUUGUAGCAAAAAAUCAUGAUCUUCAUAAGCAAAUAUUAAGACUCAAAGCGUCUUAUAAAGUUGCUAGGCUUAGCCUUCAACAACGAUGUAACUUUAUAUCCAAAAAGGCAAAAUGUCUUAGCACAAAUGAAGAUAAAGUCAAAAAAUUUCUUAACGACGAUCAAAUCAAGUUCUUAUGUCGGAAUGGAAAAAAAACAACUAGGCCUUGGACUAUCUCAACUAUUAAAAAAGCUCUGAAAUUAAGGUUUACUUGUGGACUGUCUGGCUAUAGUACUCUAAUUGAUCAAGGAUAUCCGUUGCCUUCAAUUCGAACACUCCAAAGAGCUUUUGCAGAUAAUGUUUUAGCUAUUGAUGUUUUAGAUGAAAAUGAUAAAAUGUCCGAAACGACGAGCAAAAAAGUCGAAGAAUUAUGAUCAACGAUAAGAUUCCAGAGCACCAGGAUGCUAAUGGGGCACAUCUUUUAGUUAUCAUGCCUUCUGGAAUAGCCAAUUGAUGGAAAUAAGUUGUGGUAGUUUUUUUACUUCUGAUUCUGUAUUGGAUAAAUUAGUGAAAAAUGUGAAAUUUCCCGAAUUUGGUUUAAUUGUACAAUUUUUAACAACAUAUAUGGGACAUACAUCGAAUCGGGCAAUGUUCUGAUUGAAGGCUUUCACAGAGGAUAUUAGCUUGUAUUGGAAAAAGAUAACACAAUGUUGCGAAAAACCAACCUUUCAGUUGCUAAAACUCAUGGUUAAAUACGAACCUUUGAACUGCCAUCACAGACUUAGAACUCGGGACGAGUUAUAUAAUGCGUACCAAACAAAGGAUGUGAAAGAAUACAGGAAGCCUUGUUAUCGAAUUUUUUUAAUUAGUGAAUAUUCUCACAACAUUAUCAAAGAGAGAAAUAACAUGACGAUCGACGCCUUUUUACAUUGCAUUGGAAGAGAUAAAUAACAAACAAAUUUGGAGGAGUAUGGCAGUAAAAGGGAAAACAUCACCGACUGAGAUUGCAAAUUCUUGGCUCACUAGACUAGGUCUUAAAAAACAAACAUUUAUUAGAUAUCCAUUUACUACAACAAAACAGAAUUGGUUGCGUUAUCGAAUUGCAACGUCGUCUCUAUUCACUAACAAGUCGUGAACUGAAGGAAGUAGCAAAACUUGCUCCUUCUGCCAAGACAGUAUUGAAACCUAGGUACAAUUACUGUAUCACUGUCCUAAAGUAACACCAGUAGUAAAACUCUGUAUUUUAAAAAUAGAAAAAAACUUGGUAGCCAGAAUAGCAUAAGUUAACUGGGUCGUAGGAAUAAUUCUCCAAAUGCUUUCAAAGUAGAACCGAUUCUACGCAAAAUUAAAUAAAUAAUAUAAUCUGCCAGAUGCCAUGAGGUUUCGAUUCCAAUACAUAUAGAAAUGGAGCUCGAUAUUUUGGAAAACUUAGCAGAAAAGGGACAACGUUUACUUACCUAAAAUUUUUAAUAUCUAAGAAUCAACAAAUACCACGAAGAAUUCCAAAGUUUUAUCAACUUAUACAAUCUUAUAAUUCGUAUAUUAAUACCUUAUUUUUUCCAUCGAUCUCUAUGGCUGGAUAUCAAUGAUUACAUUUAACAUAUUUUUUUAAACCAAUUUGUGAUAUCACGUUAAUUUUUGUAUUAAAUUUCAUCAUUUUAAGGCUUAUGAUUGAAUAUGAUGCUAUUAGUCAAAAAUUGUCUAAGAUGUGCUCAAUAAUUUGCAAUCUCCUUGUUUUAUCAAAGUUGAUAAACUGUACACUAAAAAAUAUAUAAAGUACAAUAUUUUA
rnacentral:misc_RNA from 1 species